rnacentral:rRNA from 1 species
UACGGAGGGUGCAAGCGUUAAUCGGAAUCACUGGGCGUAAAGCGCACGCAGGCGGUUUGUUAAGUCAGAUGUGAAAUCCCCGAGCUUAACUUGGGAACUGCAUUUGAAACUGGCAAGCUAGAGUCUUGUAGAGGGGGGUAGAAUUCCAGGUGUAGCGGUGAAAUGCGUAGAGAUCUGGAGGAAUACCGGUGGCGAAGGCGAUCACCUGGGGUUGUUCUGACGCUGAGGAGCGAAAGCUAGGGGAGCAAACGGG